AUUGAACGCUGGCGGCAGGCCUAACACAUGCAAGUCGAAUGGUAACAGGAAACAGCUUGCUGUUUCGCUGACGAGUGGCGGACGGGUGAGUAAUGUCUGGGAAACUUCCUGAUGGAGGGGGAUAACUACUGGAAACGGUAGCUAAUACCGCAUAACGUCGCAAGACCAAAGAGGGGGACCUUCGGGCCUCUUGCCAUCAGAUGUGCCCAGAUGGGAUUAGCUAGUAGGUGGGGUAACGGCUCACCUAGGCGACGAUCCCUAGCUGGUCUGAGAGGAUGACCAGCCACACUGGAACUGAGACACGGUCCAGACUCCUACGGGAGGCAGCAGUGGGGAAUAUUGCACAAUGGGCGCAAGCCUGAUGCAGCCAUGCCGCGUGUAUGAAGAAGGCCUUCGGGUUGUAAAGUACUUUCAGCGGGGAGGAAGGGAGUAAAGUUAAUACCUUUGCUCAUUGACGUUACCCGCAGAAGAAGCACCGGCUAACUCCGUG
rnacentral:rRNA from 1 species